rnacentral:rRNA from 1 species
GAUGAACGCUGGCGGCGUGCCUAAUACAUGCAAGUCGAGCGAACAGACGAGGAGCUUGCUCCUCUGACGUUAGCGGCGGACGGGUGAGUAACACGUGGAUAACCUACCUAUAAGACUGGGAUAACUUCGGGAAACCGGAGCUAAUACCGGAUAAUAUAUUGAACCGCAUGGUUCAAUAGUGAAAGGCGGUUUUGCUGUCACUUAUAGAUGGAUCCGCGCCGCAUUAGCUAGUUGGUAAGGUAACGGCUUACCAAGGCAACGAUGCGUAGCCGACCUGAGAGGGUGAUCGGCCACAAUGGAACUGAGACACGGUCCAGACUCCUACGGGAGGCAGCAGUAGGGAAUCUUCCGCAAUGGGCGAAAGCCUGACGGAGCAACGCCGCGUGAGUGAUGAAGGUCUUCGGAUCGUAAAACUCUGUUAUUAGGGAAGAACAAAUGUGUAAGUAACUAUGCACGUCUUGACGGUACCUAAUCAGAAAGCCACGGCUAACUACGUG